rnacentral:lncRNA from 1 species
UUUCUUCCUGGAAAAGAGACUCCAACUGUCUUUUGUACAGUGCUUGAAACUCAUACCAUUAAUCACUCUUUGAGACUAAAGCUCUGAUAACCUGAGUGAAGAAUUGGUUACAAGGACGUUACAAUGCACCAUGCUACCUUCAGCCAUUUGUGCUUCUGCAUAAAUUGUUUUGACCGAUUAGCCAAUCAGUCACCAACAAGACCCAAAAGGAAUGAGAAUCUAAACAGAUUGUCACCAUUUGGUGGGUUUGAACACCAAGAGGAUAGAGCCUAGAGCAUUGUGGUCUGCUUUAAGACUUCUGAGAGGCAAUAAGGAGCCCUGAGAGAAGCUGAGGGCUUCAAGCAAUGAGAUUUGAGCCUACCUCCCUUCAUCAAAAGUGCAGCUAGAAAAACUUGGAGAAGCAACCAGAACGGGAGUUGGGAGGGUAAUACUUUUACAUCAAAACAACACUAGCUUUAUUGGCUGUAAUAAGAGCAAAGUAUGUAAGUAGAAAUGAUAUUAAUCUGUCAUGCAUAUCACUUCUCAAGUGGUUCCUCAACAAUAGUGUUAAUCAAGCUUUGCCCUACUUUUAUCGGAAACCUGGUGAAGAAUAGCUUUGACAUUUAUCAGACAUAGGACACUAAGAAAAUUGCCAUAUGUAUAAAUAAAUUUAUGCCUUGAAAA